rnacentral:tRNA from 2 species
GGGCGGUUAGCUCAGCGGUAGAGCACUGCCUUCACACGGCAGUGGUCAGUGGUUCGAUCCCACUACCGCCCACCA